rnacentral:rRNA from 1 species
GAUGAACGCUGGCGGCGUGCCUAAUACAUGCAAGUCGAGCGAAUGGAUUGAGAGCUUGCUCUUAUGAAGUUAGCGGCGGGCGGGUGAGUAACACGUGGGUAACCUGCCCAUAAGACUGGGAUAACUCCGGGAAACCGGGGCGCAUACCGGCUAACAUUUUGAACCGCAUGGUUCGAACUUGCAAGGCGGCUUCGGCCGUCACUUAUGGACGGACCCGCGCCGCAUUAGCAAGUUGGUGAGGUAACGGCUCACCAAGGCAACGAUGCGUAGCCGACCUGAGAGGGUGAUCGGCCACACUGGGACUGAGACACGGCCCAGACUCCUACGGGAGGCAGCAGUAGGGAAUCUUCCGCAAUGGACGAAAGUCUGACGGAGCAACGCCGCGUGGGUGAUGAAGGCUUUCGGGUCGUAAAACUCUGUUGUUAGGGAAGAACAAGUGCUAGUUGAAUAAGCUGGCACCUUGACGGUACCUAACCAGAAAGCCACGGCUAACUACGUGCCAGCAGCCGCCGUAA